rnacentral:rRNA from 1 species
AAAAAGCUCGUAGUUGGAUUUUGGUUAAGAGGGCGCGGUCGGCCGUUUGGUCUGUACUGCGUUGUCUUGACUUCCUGAUGAGGACAUGCUCUUGGUUAACGCUGAGACAUGGAGUCAUCGUGGUUACUUUGAAAAAAUUAGAGUGUUCAAAGCGGGCUUACGCUUGAAUAUAUUAGCAUGGAAUAACACUAUAGGACUCCUGUCCUAUCUCGUUGGUCUCGGGAUGGGAGUAAUGAUUAAGAGGAACAGUUGGGGGCAUUCGUAUUUAAUUGUCAGAGGUGAAAUUCUUGGAUUUAUGAAAGACGAACUUCUGCGAAAGCAUUUGCCAAGGAUGUUUUCAUUAAUCAAGAACGAAAGUUGGGGGCUCGAAGAUGAUUAGAUACCAUCCUAGUCUCAACCAUAAACGAUGCCGACUAGGGAUUGGUGGAUGUUAAUUGAUGACUUCACCAGCACCUUAUGAGAAAUCAAAGUUUUUGGGUUCCGGGGGGAGUAUGGUCGCAAGGCUGAAACUUAAAGGAAUUGACGGAAGGGCCCCACCAAGCGUGGAGCC